UACAGAGGGUGCAAGCGUUUAAUCGGAAUUACUGGGCGUAAAGAGCACGUAGGCGGUAAUAUAAGUCAGAUGUGAAAUCCCUGGGCUCAACCUGGGAACUGCAUUUGAUACUGUAUAACUUAGAGUAUGGUAGAGGGAAGUGGAAUUUCCGGUGUAGCGGUGAAAUGCGUAGAUAUCGGAAAGAACAUCGGUGGCGAAGGCGACUUCCUGGACUGAUACUGACGCUGAGGUGCGAAAGCGUGGGGAGCAAACAGG
rnacentral:rRNA from 1 species